UCUAGGCAUUUCUUCCCUGGCUCCCUAAAACUUAUAUAGAACACCUUUGGGUCUUCCUUUGCAAGGUCAGGUUCCUCAUGCACUGGGUGAUUUUCAACAUGGAUGUCUUACGGACUAUGUACCUGAACACAGAACCUGACAUCUACAUGCCAUCAUGCCCUUGGAGUUGCUUGUUAAAGCAGAUGCCUUGAAGUUUGUAAGGUCUUUCAAGAACAGAACAAGUCAUGGACCUCAUACUCUUUUUCUAUCAACAUGAGGCUUAUAGGCAUUUAUGACUGAGUUCUUGGUGACUGUUCUGGCUUACUAUCCUGAGAACUAGGAAGAGUGACUGAGUGCGAAAGAAAGAGGUUUGGCACAGUGAUCAUUCUUUUAGUCUCAUCACCUAGGAAGCAAGAGGAUUUGUAGCCUAACAAAACAAUGAGAUCCAAAGUGAGUGGGAGACCCGAUCUCAAGAGAAUAAGGUGAAGAGUGACAGCUGAUAACUGACAUCCUGCUAUGAUCCGCAGAACUCCACACAUGUGCACAUGGGCAUGUGCAUCUGUAUACACAUGUACAUAUACCAACAA